GUAACACUGAGCGUGACACGAAAUGGUAAGGCAGCUCUAGAGUCCGUCAAAACUAGGACAAAAAGCCUGUGGAUUAGCUUCCAAGUUUCAUAAACCAUAAGAUGUCGCUGCUGCUUCCUAAAUCAAACUCCCUAGCAACGAGAUAAAGGUAGAGGACACAAUUGCCGACAAAGUGAGAGAAAACAUGGGUUUACGGGAAAGGGAAAGAUUCAGUGUAGUGCGCGAAUAUCAGUCUUCAUAAAAAUUAUACAAAUAUUUGGUUUAGUUACACUGGUGGUUAUAAGGUGGCACCUAAGUAGAAGGACUGUCAACAUGGAAUCGGAGGUAGAUACAAACUUGGAUUGUGGUUAAAAUAAUUGAAUUUAUAAAUUCAGUUUUACAAGGUAAUAUAAAAUAGAACCACUCCUUCCUCUACAAUUAUCGUCAUUUUUGUUUUAAAUAUCCGCAAACAUAAAUCGAAAGGGUCAUUCCAUGCGAAAUCGGACACAUUUUGAAACAUAAGUAUAAGUAAUUUAUAUGAAAAUACAUCAGUUCAAUUUAAUU